CCCCCCUGCCCCCACCCCCAAGCCAGGGACAGCUGCUCCGGAACUCCAGCAACUGACUGGGGAGCUACUCCCAGUUCAGCUUUUCCAGAGGUGGGGAGGCCAAUGACCUGGGGCUGGAGACCAGCAGGGGACAUGUUGAAAAUUGGACAGGGGAUAAACAACUAAAAAUCAAAGAGGUGCCAACCAGCUGAGGAGCAGCUGAAUAAAUUAAGGUUGCCAUGGCCCUAGAAUUCAUCACCAAAUGGUCAAUCUACUGGUAAUGGGAUUCUUCAUAUUCAACUAGGCUGGGCCUCUGAAAACAGACUUGAUGAGGAAACUGAGGCCCAAAGAAAGGAAGCUAUGGACACAAUCAGUGACAAAGCUUGGACUAAAACCCAAGUCUCUUGACUCUCUUCUUCUAGUUCAUUGCCCUUCACACCAUACCAUCCUACCUCCUAGCAAAUAAUAGCUGCUUGAUAAAAGUUUGUUAGAUUAUUUACUUACUUGGGACAUGCAUUAAGUACUGUUGAGUUGGAAGAUAAGUUAGGUUUAUAAGCCCAGUGAACUCAAGGUGUCAGCCCCAGAGAGGCUGAGAUGGUGGGCAGCAGACAUCAUACCAGAGCCCACAAUGAAGACAUGUUCUUCCCUUCCGCAGGCCCCUAUGAAGGAAUGAAGACAAUCCUAUCUUCAUCCCACCAAUUCAGCCCCAUAUAAGUAAGGAUUAUAGCAUCAUGGAUUUAGAACUGGAAGAGAUCCUCAGACUUUCAUUUUACAGAUGAAGAAGGGGCCA